GAUGAACGCUGGCGGCGUGCCUAAUACAUGCAAGUCGAGCGAACGGACGAGAAGCUUGCUUCUCUGAUGUUAGCGGCGGACGGGUGAGUAACACGUGGAUAACCUACCUAUAAGACUGGGAUAACUUCGGGAAACCGGAGCUAAUACCGGAUAAUAUUUUGAACCGCAUGGUUCAAAAGUGAAUGACGGUCUUGCUGUCACUUAUAGAUGGAUCCGCGCUGCAUUAGCUAGUUGGUAAGGUAACGGCUUACCAAGGCAACGAUGCAUAGCCGACCUGAGAGGGUGAUCGGCCACACUGGAACUGAGACACGGUCCAGACUCCUACGGGAGGCAGCAGUAGGGAAUAUUCGGCAAUGGGCGAAAGCCUGACGGAGCAACGCCGCGUGAGUGAUGAAGGUCUUCGGAUCGUAAAACUCUGUUAUUAGGGAAGAACAUAUGUGUAAGUAUCUGUGCACAUCUUGACGGUACCUAAUCAGAAAGCAACGGCUAACUACGUG
rnacentral:rRNA from 1 species